rnacentral:rRNA from 1 species
GAUGAACGCUGGCGGCGUGCUUAACACAUGCAAGUCGAACGGAAAGGCUCCUGCUUGCCGGGGUACUCGAGUGGCGAACGGGUGAGUAACACGUGGGUGAUCUGCCCUGCACUUCGGGAUAAGCCUGGGAAACUGGGUCUAAUACCGGAUAGGACCACAUUUUGGAUGGUGUGGUGGAAAGUUUUUCGGUGUGGGAUGAGCUCGCGGCCUAUCAGCUUGUUGGUGGGGUAAUGGCCUACCAAGGCGUCGACGGGUAGCCGGCCUGAGAGGGUGUACGGCCACAUUGGGACUGAGAUACGGCCCAGACUCCUACGGGAGGCAGCAGUGGGGAAUAUUGCACAAUGGGCGCAAGCCUGAUGCAGCGACGCCGCGUGGGGGAUGACGGCCUUCGGGUUGUAAACUCCUUUCGCUAGGGACGAAGCGCAAGUGACGGUACCUGGAGAAGAAGCACCAGCUAACUACGUG